rnacentral:lncRNA from 1 species
AUCAUGAGUGUGGGAAGCAUGACCUCAAGUUUCAGGCAAGCGAAUUCAAUAUAUGCCUUUCCCCAGGGCGAGAGGCUCACAAAGCAGAAGGAAUGUCAUUUUUCAGCCGACAGAAAUAGAGCUUUUUGUCUGCAAUAGUCACUUGCAACAGGAAGCACUCUUCAGAGGUUGUUGCUCUUGACCAAGACUAUGGAUGAAGUGGAUACAAGGCUAUACCCUGAGCACUUCCUUGGGGAAGAAACAACAUGGGGAGCUGUUUGCCUGCUCUUUGGAGGUUUUUGUCUGCAGGUGUGAAGGCACCGUUUGCCUAUUUUGGUAGAGCCUGCCUCCUGACUUCCUAACCAUUAUCUACCCAGGUGACUAUAUUCUCUGCCAAGGUAAGUCUACUGGGGGACAAAACUCUGUAUUUCAUGAUUAUCUUCAUUAAAAAAAAAAAUGCUCUUCCCUUUAUUGUGAGUAUUUGAAAGCAGGAAAGUAAUUUCAUAACAAGAUUAAUUCACAGAAAGGUAAGAAUGACUAAUAGCAUUUUGAGGAAUACCACUUCAAGUAAUUUGUUCAUACUUACAGAAUAAGGACAUACAUUUCUUUGAGCAUUUCAUCUGUUUGAAAAUAAUCUAUUCUGUCCCUGUGUGUCAUUCGAAACCCAGUUUUAGAUUUCAAAUAUGUUAUCAUGAUAAAGUUAAUCCAAGAGGAUAAAUCUUGAUUGACACUACUCUAAGGACUAGGAUAGAUAAACAAGACCUCUUCAAACCCACAGAUCAUAUCAUAUUGGAAACUGAUUGCUCAGAUCACUCUGUCAUAUUCUUAUAUCUAAAGCAGGACUGAGGAUUAAAAACCUUCCUACGGUGUCUUUGAAAGAUCCUUUCUUUGCAUGGAUGAUGGGGCAGAGUGGCUUAAUAUCAGAAAGCAUGUUCUAUAGAAUAAAAUAAAUAAGUACAUAAUUAAUUCCCA